rnacentral:rRNA from 1 species
GACGAACGCUGGCGGCGUGCUUAACACAUGCAAGUCGAGCGAUGAAGUUCCUUCGGGAAUGGAUUAGCGGCGGACAGGUGAGUAACACGUGGGUAACCUGCCUCAUAGAGGGGAAUAGCCUUUCGAAAGGAAGAUUAAUACCGCAUAAGAUUGUAGUAUCGCAUGAUACAGCAAUUAAAGGAGUAAUCCGCUAUGAGAUGGACCCGCGUCGCAUUAGCUAGUUGGUGAGGUAACGGCUCACCAAGGCGACGAUGCGUAGCCGACCUGAGAGGGUGAUCGGCCACAUUGGGACUGAGACACGGCCCAGACUCCUACGGGAGGCAGCAGUGGGGAAUAUUGCACAAUGGGGGAAACCCUGAUGCAGCAACGCCGCGUGAGUGAUGACGGUCUUCGGAUUGUAAAACUCUGUCUCCAGGGACGAUAAUGACGGUACCUGAGGAGGAAGCCACGGCUAACUACGUGCCAGCAGCCGCCGUAA